GGUACUUCCCCUCAAGUAGCCAGGGCAUAGGGAUGCCUUACCUACUUUCCUAAAGGAGAGGCAUGUGGCACUUGUUUUAUGUAGGGCAUGUGGCUGCGGGUGACAUUCACUCUUCAGUCAAGUGCCCAAGAAGUUGCAAAAGGACAGGAGACAAAACAAGAGAAGAGUGGGAAUUCCUAGUGAUUGUGGAGUAUGAGGCUAAUAAAUGGCUCUUAAAAUAGUUCUUGACCCAAUUUCUGGGUACAGUGGCUUAGUCAUGACAACCCGUAGCUAACAAGGAGGAAGUUAGGAGGAUGAGUACCAGCCUCUCUCUCCUCCCUGCCUUGCGUCUCUGCUGGUCCCUUCUGAUGACUGCAUCAAACCAGAGACCAGAAAGCAUCCGGGCCCAUGGAUGAGUCCCCAUGGGUCAGCCCCCUGAGGACCAGCAGGGUAAAGGAAGGCAGAGAUGAAUCUGCUGGACCAAAGGAGUUCAUAUGGUGUAAUUAUGAAAUGCUCCAGAAUUUGGAAGUCACAAAUCAGCCAACGGACCUUCAAGUAUUCUGAGCAUUACAGUGCAAGGAACACUAAGUGAGCAGACCCGGUUAGAAAAAUAAGACCCAGUCACUUGGCAAGACAAUUAUGAUUUCAAAACAGAGUAUAUGUUCAAAUACAUAGAAGACACAAUAAAGGCCAAAGGAGUUCAUAGAAAGGAGAAACCUCUUUUGCAGUGGAGUGACAAGGGAAGAGUUCCUAGAUCAGAAUUUUUAUUUGCUUCUAGUCAAAGGCCAAGACUCACAGUACAAACAAUAAGUGCAAUGUGAUCUUUAAAAUGAACUAUGGAGACAAAACUACCCACAUGGAAUAAAGGGAAACUAGACUUCUGAACAUAGACAUCAGUAGAUAUUUAGGCAGAGCUGCAUAAAGAAGGCAUCUAAUCAAUCUGUUGCUGUCAUUUGACCGAUGCACCUCUAAAACGCCUUCCCUAUGCAAGGGAGUGAAGAGCUUUGAUUUCCUUGAGGAGCAGCAUAACAGAAUCAAGAGCAAGACUUUGGUGAUCAAGGGCCUAGAUUUGAGAUAUUCUGCUAUUUCCAUAGAUGUGUGAACUGG
rnacentral:lncRNA from 1 species